GGAGGGGGGGCUAGCGUUGUUCGGAUUUACUGGGCGUAAAGGGCGCGUAGGCGGUAUGCCAUGUCAGGGGGGGUGAAAAGGGCCUGGGGCUCAACCCAGGAACUGCCUUUGAAACUGGCAAACUAGAGUCCGAUAGAGGAUGGCGGAAUUCCCAGUGUAGAGGUGAAAUUCGUAGAUAUUGGGAAGAACACCAGUGGCGAAGGCGGCCAUCUGGAUCGGCACUGACGCUGAGGCGCGAAAGCGUGGGGAGCAAACAGGAUUAGAUACCCUGGUAGUCCACGCCGUAAACGAUGUGUGCUAGACGUUGGGGGCCUUAGGCCCUGAGUGUCGCAGCUAACGCGUUAAGCACACCGCCUGGGGACGUACGGCCGCAAGGUUA
rnacentral:rRNA from 1 species